AUAAAUGAUCCUUCGGAAUCCAUGGAGGAAAGGCAUGGCUCCUCCACCGUUACCACCUCUGGGUGCAAGAGACAGACAUAUAUCCGGACAGAGUAGUCAGUGUCACUGAAACCUGGCUUCAGAGGUAUUCAAAAAGCAGCAUAUUGCUGGGUGAAGAUUGUGGAUGGAAAUAAUCAGCCCUUUUAAAGGGUUGCUGGGGAGCUGGUGUCCGUUUGCAACAGUCAUAUGGCAGAAGGUGGAGGACACCCUGGACAGGUUGCUAGUCCAUCACAGUGCCCAUCACUGCUAGUUGAUGGGCACUCAUAUUAAACUCAAUAACCGCAUAAUAAAUACCAUUAACCGCA